AGAACGAACGCUGGCGGCAUGCCUAAUACAUGCAAGUCGAACGAACUCUUCGGAGUUAGUGGCGCACGGGUGCGUAACGCGUGGGAAUCUGCCCCUUGGUUCGGAAUAACAGUUGGAAACGACUGCUAAUACCGGAUGAUGACGAAAGUCCAAAGAUUUAUACGCCAAGGGAUGAGCCCG
rnacentral:rRNA from 1 species